AUUGCUCCCUUCUAAAGAAGGGCAUUAACCAGCCACAGCAUGUCUCUUGGUCUAAGUAGAGUGAAUGAGUUUCAUUUCUCACGACAGGAGAGGUGGAUUGGUGUUGACUGCCUGUGCCAGUGUCAUGAAGGAUUCUGAGGCUGUGUCCAAGCCCGAUAGGAGAGAGUGCGCAACAGCCUUUUCCCUGGGAGGGGAGAAAGUCAACGUGCAUGUUGUCCAUCCAAUCCUGUGUGGGUCUUCCUUGAAACAGGAGUUUGUUCUCUUGGCUCUUCUUGCAGGUGGAAGUGAUCAAGAAAGCCUACAUGCAAGGUGAAGUGGAAUUUGAGGAUGGAGAAAACGGUGAGGAUGGGGCGGCGUCCCCCAGGAACGUGGGGCACAACAUCUACAUAUUAGCUCAUCAGUUGGCUCGGCAUAACAAAGAACUUCAGAGCAUGCUGAAACCUGGUGGCCAAGUGGACGGAGAUGAAGCUCUGGAGUUUUAUGCCAAGCACACGGCGCAGAUAGAGAUUGUCAGAUUAGACCGAACAAUGGAACAGAUAGUCUUUCCCGUG
rnacentral:sRNA from 1 species